rnacentral:rRNA from 1 species
GCUAUAAUUGUCAGCUAAGUGGCGCACGGGUGAGUAAUGUAUAGAUAACCUGCCCUUAAGAAAGGAAUAACAGUUGGAAACGACUGCUAAUGCCCUAUAUGCCUUUAAUACAUAAGUAUGCAAGGGAAACGCUUUAGUGCUUAAGGAUGGGUCUGUAUGGUAUCAGCUUGUUGGUGAGGUAAUGGCUCACCAAGGCUAUGACGCCUAACUGGUUUGAGAGGAUGAUCAGUCACACUGGAACUGAGACACGGUCCAGACUCCUACGGGAGGCAGCAGUGGGGAAUAUUGCACAAUGGACGAAAGUCUGAUGCAGCAACGCCGCGUGGAGGAUGACACAUUUCGGUGCGUAAACUCCUUUUAUAUAGGAAGAUAAUGACGGUACUAUAUGAAUAAGCACCGGCUAACUCCGUGCCAGCAGCCGCGGUAAUACGGAGGGUGCAAGCGUUACUCGGAAUCACUGGGCGUAAAGAGCGUGUAGGCGGGUAUAUAAGUCAGAAGUGAAAUCCAAUAGCUCAACUAUUGAACUGCUUUUGAAACUGUAUACCUAGAAUGUGGGAGAGAUAGAUGGAAUUUCUGGUGUAGGGGUAAAAUCCGUAGAGAUCAGAAGGAAUACCGAUUGCGAAGGCGAUCUACUGGAACAUUAUUGACGCUGAGACGCGAAAGCGUGGGGAGCAAACAGGAUUAGAUACCCUGGUAGUCCACGCCCUAAACGAUGUACACUAGUUGUUGUGAGGCUCGACCUUGCAGUAAUGCAGUUAACACAUUAAGUGUACCGCCUGGGGAGUACGGUCGCAAGAUUAA